GCAUAUCAAUAAGCGGAGGAAAAGAAAAUAACAAUGAUUCCCCUAGUAACUGCGAGUGAAGAGGGACAAGCUCAAAUUUUAAAUCUAUCGGGUUUUACCCGAUCGAGUUGUAAUUUGAAGAAGCGUUUUCUGCGUUUUUGGUCAGCCCAAGUCCUAUUGAAUGAGGCAUCAUGGAGGGUGAUAAUCCCGUCCGGUUGAUCAUUUGCGUUUUACGAUACGCUUUCUAAGAGUCAAGUUGUUUGGGAUUGCAGCUUAAAAUGGGAGGUAAAUUUCUCCUAAGGCUAAAUAACGGCGAGAGACCGAUAGCGAACAAGUACCGUGAGGGAAAGAUGAAAAGAACUUUGAAAAGAGAGUUAAACAGUACGUGAAAUUGUUGAAAGGAAAACGAUUGAAGCCAGUCGUACCUUCGGGUAAUCAGCCUUUCGGGUGCGAUUCUGUGGAGUGUGAUGAGCUUAACACCUUCAUGCUUUGCAUAUUUGUGCUCUUGGGUGUACUUGCCCGUGUGGUUGGUUAACAUCAAUUUUGGUUAUCAUAAAAUGAUUGGAGGAAUGUAGCUUCGAUCUCGUAUUGAAGUGUUAUAGCCUUCGGUAGAUGUGAUGAACGAGAUUGAGGAUUGCAACGGAUACCCUUCGGGGCUACCUGUCUGGUCUCUGAUCGUUGCUCUGGUGCCGAAAGCUUGCUUACGGUCAUCAAAGUCGAUGGCCAAUAGGUUAGAACGGGUUAAAUUCGUUAAGGAUGUUGACGUAAUGGCUUUAAACGACCCGUCUUGAAACACGGACCAAGGAGUCUAACAUAUAUGCGAGUGUUAGGGUGAUUAAACCCUUACGCGUAAUGAAAGUAAUUUUGGUGGGAACAUUUUUGUGCACCAUCGACCGAUCAGGAUAUUUUUUGAUAGAUUUGAGUAAGAGCAAAGGGCGA
rnacentral:rRNA from 1 species